rnacentral:rRNA from 1 species
GAUGAACGCUGGCGGCGUGCUUAACACAUGCAAGUCGAACGGAAAGGCCGUACCUUGCUUCGGUACUCGAGUGGCGAACGGGUGAGUAACACGUGGGUGAUCUGCCCUGUACUUCGGGAUAAGCUUGGGAAACUGGGGCUAAUACCGGAUAUGACGUUCUGCUGCAUGGGGUUGUGGGAAGCUUUUGCGGUGUGGGAUGAGCUCGCGGGCUAUCUGCGUGUUGGGGGGGUGUUGGCGUACAAAGGCGUCUAGGGGUAGACGGGCUGUGAGAGUGUACGGCCACACUGGGAGAGUGAGACGGCGCAGACUCUCACACGGGACAGCAGUGGGGAAUAUUGUACAAUGUGGGCGAGCGUGAGGCGGCGACGCGGCGCGUGGGAUGAGGGGGUUCGGGGUGUAAACUCCGUUCUCGCUCGACGAAGACUUUUGGUGACGGUAGUUUGAGAAGAAGCACCGGCUAACUACGUG